rnacentral:rRNA from 1 species
GACGAACGCUGGCGGCGUGCCUAAUACAUGCAAGUCGAGCGGCCAGAAGGGGGCUUGCUCCCGGAAGUUAGCGGCGGACGGGUGAGUAACACGUGGGCAAACUACCCUGUAGAUCGGGAUAGCAAGGAGAAAUCGAUGCUAAUACCGGAUACUCAUUUGAAGUGCAUGCUUCGAAUGUACAAGAUGGCUCCGUCUAUCACUACGGGAUGGGCACGGGGCGCAUUAGCUAGGUGGUAAGGUAAUGGCUUACCAAGGCAACGAUGCGUAGCUGACCGGAGAGGGUGAUCGGGCACACUGGGACUGAGCCACGGCCCAGACUCCUACGGGAGGCAGCAGUAGGGAAUCUUCCGCAAUGGACGAAAGUCUGACGGAGCAACGCCGCGUGAGUGAUGAAGGUUUGCGGAUCGUAAAGCUCUGUUGUUAGGGAAGAACAAGUGCCGUUUGAAUAAGGCGGCACUUUGACGGUACCUAACCAGAAAGCCACGGCUAACUACGUGCCAGCCGCCGCGGUAACAC